UGGCUCAUUAAAUCAGUUAUCGUUUAUUUGAUAGUACCUUACUACUUGGAUACCUGUGGUAAUUCUAGAGCUAAUACAUGCUAAAAACCCCGACUUCGGGAGGGGUGUAUUUAUUAGAUAAAAAACCAACGCCCCUCGGGGCUCCUUGGUGAUUCAUAAUAACUUCUCAGAUCGCAUGGCCUUGCGCCGGCGACGGUUCAUUCAAAUUUCUGCCCUAUCAACUUUCGAUGGUAAGGUAGUGGCUUACCAUGGUUUCAACGGGUAACGGGGAAUUAGGGUUCGAUUCCGGAGAGGGAGCCGGAGGAACGGCUACCACAUCCAAGGAAGGCAGCAGGCGCGCAAAUUACCCAAUUCCGAUACGGAGAGGUAGUGACAAUAAAUACUGAUACAGGGCUCUUUUGGGUCUUGUAAUUGGAAUGAGUACAAUUUAAACCUCUUAACGAGGAACAAUUGGAGGGCAAGUCUGGUGCCAGCAGCCGCGGUAAUUCCAGCUCCAAUAGCGUAUAUUAAAGUUGUUGCAGUUAAAAAGCUCGUAGUUGAACCUUUGGCCUGGCUGGCAGGUCCGCCUCACCGCGUGCACUUGUCCGGCCGGGCCUUUUCUUCUGGGCAACCGCAUGCCCUUCACUGGGUGUGUUGGGGACCAGGACUUUUACUUUGAAAAAAUUAGAGUGUUCAAAGCAGGCCUUUGCUCGAAUACGUUAGCAUGGAAUAAUAGAAUAGGACGUGCGGUCCUAUUUUGUUGGUUUCUAGGACCGCCGUAAUGAUUAAUAGGGACAGUCGGGGGCAUCAGUAUUCAAUUGUCAGAGGUGAAAUUCUUGGAUUUAUUGAAGACUAACUACUGCGAAAGCAUUUGCCAAGGAUGUUUUCAUUAAUCAGUGAACGAAAGUUAGGGGAUCGAAGACGAUCAGAUACCGUCGUAGUCUUAACCAUAAACUAUGCCGACUAGGGAUCGGGCGGUGUUUCUAUUGUGACCCGCUCGGCACCUUA
rnacentral:rRNA from 1 species